UCCCCGGGCAAAUGGCCUGGGGGUUUGGGGAGGAUGCUGACAAAGGGGGGGCACUGCCAAAGACACCAACAGCCUCUCACACCCGAAGCAGGUGGUCCCAGGCCUUCCUGCUCCCAGGCCAGGGCUGGCUCUCCCACCUUCCCCACCCGACGCCGGCCUUGCGUCUCCAGCUCCUGCCCCUUCCGCUGGCCGCCCUUCAUGCCCUCAGUUUGGCUUCAGGCUCCAAUCACCACGGGGAUCAGCCCAUUUCUCAGGGCCUUUGCAUGGGCUGGUACUGAUGCCUGGAAGACAGCCUCCCCAUCUCCCAGCCUGGGAGUCAGCUACCAGGGUCUCGAGCAUCCCUGGCUACGCCCUCCCCUGGGUCAUGAAUCCCAGCCGCCAGCAUCUUCCCCUCCCAGGCUUGCACGUCCGGCCUCCCCUCUGCUUCCAUCUCCACCACCCUCUGCCCGGAGCCACUCACCACCCACCCCUCCGCCUGGCCUGCCCCCUGCACAGUUCACGCCUCCCUUCCUGAACUUGGGAUGUGUACCAGCACUUCACAGUGCACUUGCCUCUUGGAACCUCAGGGACUGUCACACCAGCCCCAGGAUGUCUGCGAGGCCCAUGGAGAUAAGAAAAUUGAGGAGCAGCAAGGCUAGAGGCUAGGACAGUGCCGGGGUCCCCAGCGGGUUCUGUCAGGUCACAGUGCAUUCCCCGUGACCCUCCAAGACCUGGCUCAGGGCCCCCUCCCUGGGAAGCUGGCC